UACGUAGGGUGCGAGCGUUAAUCGGAAUUACUGGGCGUAAAGCGAGCGCAGACGGUUACUUAAGCAGGAUGUGAAAUCCCCGGGCUUAACCUGGGAACUGCGUUCUGAACUGGGUGACUAGAGUGUGUCAGAGGGAGGUAGAAUUCCACGUGUAGCAGUGAAAUGCGUAGAGAUGUGGAGGAAUACCGAUGGCGAAGGCAGCCUCCUGGGAUAACACUGACGUUCAUGCUCGAAAGCGUGGGUAGCAAACAGG
rnacentral:rRNA from 1 species